rnacentral:rRNA from 1 species
CCUACGGGUGGCAGCAGUGGGGAAUAUUGCACAAUGGGGGAAACCCUGAUGCAGCGACGCCGCGUGAGUGAAGAAGUAUUUCGGUAGGUAAAGCUCUAUCAGCAGGGAAGAAAUAGCGACCUUUGGGUCGCCAGACGGUACCUGACUCAGAAGCCCCGGCUAACUACGUGCCAGCAGCCGCGGUAAUACGUAGGGGGCAAGCGUUAUCCGGAUUUACUGGGUGUAAAGGGAGCGUAGACGGCAGCACAAGUCUGAAGUGAAAUGCCGGGGCUUAACCCCGGAACUGCUUUGGAAACUGUGGAGCUAGAGUGCAGGAGAGGUAAGUGGAAUUCCUGGUGUAGCGGUGAAAUGCGUAGAUAUUAGGAGGAACACCAGUGGCGAAGGCGGCUUACUGGACUGUAACUGACGUUGAGGCUCGAAAGCGUGGGGAGCAAACAGGAUUAGAUACCCCGGUAGUC